rnacentral:rRNA from 1 species
GCUAGGGCGGCGCGAGCUGUACCAAACCUAACCAAACUCCGAAUACCUAGGAGUACUAUCCGGGAGACAGACGGCGGGUGCUAAGGUCCGUCGUCAAAAGGGAAACAGCCCUGACCUACAGCUAAGGUCCCCAAGUCACGUCUAAGUGGGAAAGCAUGUGGGAAUCCCAAAACAACCAGGAGGUUGGCUUAGAAGCAGCCAUCCUUUAAAGAAAGCGUAACAGCUCACUUGUCUAAAUAAGUUUUUCUGCGCCGAAAAUGUACCGGGGCUAAAGCUGUAUACCGAAGAUGUGAGUGCUUAUUGAUUUCGAUCAAUAGGCGCGGUAGCGGAGCGUUCCGUAAGUCUGUGAAGGUGGUUUGUGAAAACUGCUGGAGAUAUCGGAAGUGAGAAUGCUGACAUAAGUAGCGUAAAAGAGUGUGAAAAACACUCUCACCAAAAAUCUAAGGGUUCCUACGUUAAGUUAAUCUGCGUAGGGUUAGUCGGUUCCUAAGGCGAGUCCGUAAAGGAGUAGUCGAUGGCAAUUAGGUUAAUAUUCCUAAACCUCUUAAGUGUGACGGGUUUCGUAUUUGUAUAGAUCUUAUUGGAUUGAUCUAUGCUUAAAAAAAGCUCCAGGAAAUAGCACUUAUAUUUAUGAGGCCGUACCGCAAACCGACACUGGUGGAUGAGUAGAGUAUACUAAGGUGUUGAAAGAAUGAUGUUGAAGGAACUCGGCAAAUUAUACCUGUAACUUCGGAAGAAGGGUAACCUGCUUUUAGGCAACUAUGAGUAGGUGGCACAAAAUAGGGAGUAGCGACUGUUUACUAAAAACACAGGACUCUGCAAACACGUAAGUGGAAGUAUAGGGUCUGACGCCUGCCCGGUGCUGGAAGGUUAAUAGGAGGGGUGCAAGCUCUAAAUUGAAGCCCCAGUAAACGGCGGCCGUAACACUGACGGUCCUAAGGUAGCGAAAUUCCUUGUCGGGUAAGUUCCGACCCGCACGAAUGGCGUAACGAUUUCUCCACUGUCUCCAACAUCACUUCAGCGAAAUUGAAUUCCCCGUGCAGAUGCGGGGUACCCGCGGUUAGACGAAGAGACCCCGUGCACCUUUACUAUAGCUUUACAUUGCUAUUAAAAGUGUGAUGUGCAGGAUAGGUGGGAGACUUUGAAGUUAUGGCGCUAGCUAUAAUGGAGUCAACCUUGAGAUACCACCCUUUACACUUUUGAUAUCUAACUAUGUUUCAUUAUCUGGAACUAGGACAUUGUAUGGUGGGUAGUUUGACUGGGGCGGUCGCCUCCCAAAAGGUAACGGAGGCGCCCAAAGGUUCCCUCAGCCUGGUCGGCAACCAGGUGUCGAGUGUAAGUGCACAAGGGAGCUUGACUGUGAGAGAGACAUCUCAAGCAGGGACGAAAGUCGGGACUAGUGAUCUGACGGUGGCACGUGGAAGCGCCGUCACUCAACGGAUAAAAGGUACCCCGGGGAUAAC